rnacentral:rRNA from 1 species
GAUGAACGCUGGCGGCGUGCCUAAUACAUGCAAGUCGAGCGAACAGACGAGGAGCUUGCUCCUCUGACGUUAGCGGCGGACGGGUGAGUAACACGUGGAUAACCUACCUAUAAGACUGGGAUAACUUCGGGAAACCGGAGCUAAUACCGGAUAAUAUAUUGAACCGCAUGGUUCAAUAGUGAAAGACGGUUUUGCCGUCACUUAUAGAUGGAUCCGCGCCGCAUUAGCUAGUUGGUAAGGUAACGGCUUACCAAGGCGACGAUGCGUAGCCGACCUGAGAGGGUGAUCGGCCACACUGGAACUGAGACACGGUCCAGACUCCUACGGGAGGCAGCAGUAGGGAAUCUUCCGCAAUGGGCGAAAGCCUGACGGAACAACGCCGCGUGAGUGAUGAAGGUCUUCGGAUCGUAAAACUCUGUUAUUAGGGAAGAACAAAUGUGUAAGUAACUAUGCACGUCUUGACGGUACCUAAUCAGAAAGCCACGGCUAACUACGUG